rnacentral:rRNA from 1 species
CAGUCGCCACGGUAAUACGUAGGUGGCAAGCGUUGUCCGGAAUUAUUGGGCGUAGAGCGCGCGCAGGCGGAUCAGUUAGUCUGUCUUAAAAGUUCGGGGCUUAACCCCGUGAGGGGAUGGAAACUGCUGAUCUAGAGUAUCGGAGAGGAAAGUGGAAUUCCUAGUGUAGCGGUGAAAUGCGUAGAUAUUAGGAAGAACACCAGUGGCGAAGGCGACUUUCUGGACGAAAACUGACGCUGAGGCGCGAAAGCCAGGGGAGCGAACGGGAUUAGAUACCCGCGUAGUCCCUGUCUCUUAUACA